GACGUAGGGCGCGAGCGUUGUCCGGAUUUAUUGGGCGUAAAGAGCUCGUAGGCGGCUUGUCGCGUCGUCCGUGAAAACCUGCGGCUCAACUGCAGGCUGGCGGUCGAUACGGGCAGGCUGGAGUUCGGUAGGGGAGACUGGAAUUCCUGGUGUAGCGGUGAAAUGCGCAGAUAUCAGGAGGAACACCGGUGGCGAAGGCGGGUCUCUGGACAGUUCCUGACGCUGAGGCACGAAGGUCAGGGGAGCAAACAGG
rnacentral:rRNA from 1 species